rnacentral:tRNA from 1 species
UGGGUUGUGGCUCAGGGGUAGAGUUCUUGCCUAGCAUGGGAGAGGCACUGGGUUGGAUCCCCAGCACCACAU